rnacentral:rRNA from 1 species
UACGGAGGGAGCAAACGUUGCUCGGAAUCAUUGGGCGUAAAGCGCACGUAGGCGGUUCGUUAUGUCGGAUGUGAAAGCCUCGGGCUUAACCCGAGAAGUGCAUCCGAAACUUGCGGGCUUUAGUACGGAAGAGGGUCUCGGAAUUCCCGGUGUAGAGGUGAAAUUCGUAGAUAUCGGGAGUAACACCAGUGGCGAAGGCGGAGACCUGGGACGAUACUGACGCUGAGGUGCGAAAGCGUGGGGAGCAAACAGG